UACGUAGGAUCCAAGCGUUGUCCGGAUUUACUGGGCGUAAAGGGUGCGUAGGCGGGUCUUUAAGUCAGGGGUGAAAUCCUGGAGCUCAACUCCAGAACUGCCUUUGAUACUGAGGAUCUUGAGUUCGGGAGAGGUGAGUGGAACUGCGAGUGUAGAGGUGAAAUUCGUAGAUAUUCGCAAGAACACCAGUGGCGAAGGCGGCUCACUGGCCCGAUACUGACGCUGAGGCACGAAAGCGUGGGGAGCAAACAGG
rnacentral:rRNA from 1 species